UACGAAGGGGACUAGCGUUGUUCGGAAUCACUGGGCGUAAAGCGCACGUAGGCGGAUAUGUCAGUCAGGGGUGAAAUCCCGGGGCUCAACCUCGGAACUGCCUUUGAUACAGCAUAUCUUGAGUCCGAUAGAGGUGGGUGGAAUUCCUAGUGUAGAGGUGAGAUUCGUAGAUAUUAGGAAGAACACCGGUGGCGAAGGCGGCCCACUGGAUCGGUACUGACGCUGAGGUGCGAAAGCGUGGGGAGCAAACAGG
rnacentral:rRNA from 1 species